AAAAAAUUUAUAACUUCUUAAAUAAUCUAAUGUCUUUUUUUUUUUUAAGGGUUUGGCUUCUGAAAGGUAUUCCAAGUACACCGGCAAAAUAUCUACUUUCUCUAUGAGUUUAUAAAUUGAAGUGGUUCUUCAGGACAAACAAAAACCCUUUUCAUCUAAAAUUUUAAUUGAGACCAAUUUCAGUGCCCUGGGAAUUAGUUCCAAAGUUUGGCUCAAGUUUUCUGGCACUGAGCACAGGGCUCUGGCCUCAGGACUGCACUGGGUCACCUUACAGCUGCACCUCAGGGCUACUUGCCAAGAAGCUGGUCUCAUGGCAACACUUCCCUAUGGCUUAACACCAGAACAUUGAGCUUGGAUACCCAACCUGGCUGAAAGCAAUUCACAUGAACUGCAACUCUAUCUAGCAAGCAACUUGCAGGAGUCAUCUCGUGUAGCACUGUAACACCCUCUGACAUUUCUGGGAGAAAAAUAAGACUAAUGUUCAUUGGUUUGUCUAGGAGUGGAGAUGGGUGUUUCUCAAGGUUUAAUUUAUAAAUAGAGAGUUGUACGUUGCUAUAACCACCACAUAAAUGGAGAAACGUGUCACUUAAAGUUUGUAACCAAGUUUUUAGCAGCUUUUUCAAAAAUGGGGAAGUACAGUCCAGCUAUCCUGGUUCAGGAACCAGAAAGAUCAGGGUUGGAAAUGUUAUUUUCCCACUAACCAGGUGGAAGAGUUUGGGCAGUUAACUUAGUCUUACUGUGCCUCAGUUUACUCAUACAUAAAAUACAAUUUGGGCUCAUUAAAUGAAUUCUAAAUCUCAGUCUUAACAUUUUACUAUAUGUAUGAAUAUAUAUUUAUAGUUUUCCUAUUUUGGUACAAUCACUUGAAACCCAUUCUCUUACUAGAGAAAUCUAAAUUUCCAAAAAUCUCAGGUUGUCAUUAAAUAUAGCACCUAAGAACAAAGCACCAUAGAGUUUAGCUGUAAGAGGUACUUAGAUAAUUUAGUCCAACUUCCUAAUUUUAUCAUCUCUCUUCCUUUUCACUUUCCUUUCUUCCUUUUUUCAACAAAUUUUUUUCUGAGUUCUGGUAUAUGCGAAGCACUGAGUUAAGUGCUAGGGACUGAGUCCUCAGUGUUAAAGAACUUCCAGUACAGUAGAGACAGACAAGUAAAUAGGUGAUUAAAAUACAAUGAAGUAAGUGAAUAGAGGUGAGCAUUGGGUGCAUCGGAAGACAGAGGCCAGUCUUGGAGUGAGGGGUAGGAGUUAGGAAAGGGUUCCUGGAGAAAUGACAUCUUAGCUGUGGGCGGGGGGGGGGAGGGGGGGUGUUGUUUACUAGGCAGAAAAGCAGCAUGUGCCUUUGCAUAACAGAGAGGAACCCGGGAGCAGUGAGGAGGAUUGCCCAAGGGUAUGCAUCUGGCCAGUGGCAGAGCUGCCAGUAAAAUGGAGCUCAAGGCCAUAACUAGAAAAUUACAGGCUCAGUUGAAUGUCAAUGACACAAAUUGAAAGUUCUUGGUUUUGUUUUUUGGUGCAGGUAAAACAUCAUGGUCCCUGCCUUUGCUGCCACCAACUUAAUUCAAAUCUGCGGCUCUUGCCUGGGCUCUAGGAUUAGGAUUUCCUCUCUGGCUCUAGUGUCUUCAGCAGUAACUCAUCAACACAACACAACCACAUCACAGGCUUUUCAUCUGAGAAGUACCACCACCAAUCUACUCUAGAGAUGAGGAUCUUUCAGUUGCUGAGUGGCAAGGAUGAAUAAACAUCCUGGCUCUGAUAGGCUUAGGAGACAAGUCUUUGUUAGUGAUGGCUCAGUUAUAGAACAGUUAUGACAUGAUGAUUGUCUUCACAUAUCUGAAGGAUUGUAGGAGGGAUGUUUAUUCUGUAUAGGGUGGAGGGGAAGAAUGAGAACCAAAUGGAUAUAUAGAUUACACCAUUACAGGUAAAUAUAUUUUCCCUAAAUAAGAACUUGAGGGCCAGGUGUGGUGGCUCACACCUAUAAUCCCAUAUAUACCUAUAUAUACUUCUGAGUAUAUAUACUCGGAAGGCUGAAGUUGGGGGAUCACUUGAGCCCAGGAGUUUGAGACCAGCCUGGGCAACAUGGUGAAGCCCUGUCUCUACAAAAAAUACAAAAAUUAACCAGUGUUGUGGCUUGUGCCUCUAGUCCUGGCUACUAGGGAGGCUGAAGUGGGAGGAUCACUUGAGUCCAGGAGUUCGAGGCUGCAGUGAGCCAUCAUCGCACCACUGCACUCCAGCCUGGGUAACAGAUGGAGACCCUGCUUCAAUUAAAAAAAAAAAACCCAAGAACUUGAAGGUGACUGUGUUGGUAAGCACUGAGUAUCCCUACACCAAAAGUAUAACAAGUGCAGAAUGACCACUUUACUGGGAUGUUGCAAAGACAAUUCAUGCCUUUAAUAAGAUUUAGAUUGUAGAGGCCCUGAUCAAAUCCUUCCAGCUCAGAGCUUCUGUGAGUUUAUAUUUUCACAGUUGCCCAGGCUGAGGUCUAAUUGUUCUAGUUUUUUAUCUAUUCCUCACAAAGUAUGUACUCUCCAAUCUAAUUAAUUAGCAUUUCAAGCACAUUAUUUUUAUAUUUAUAACAAAUACAUGCUUAUUGUAUAUUGUAAUAUUUAAGGAGACAAAUUCUUUUUCUCAAAAUACAUUAACAUUCACUGCUAGGUAUUGAAACUGCUAUACUUACGUGAGAAAAUCGGCAGUUUGGCAUGUACACAUCUGUGUACACCACACCUGCAUAUUCAGUCUGAUACACACAAACCACCUUAUUUUAGGUAUAUUUCACCUGUGUAUUUAUAUGCUAUGGAUGCUAGCAUCUAUACACUCACAUGCCCAAAGUUAAUUUAAUACAUUCCUUUCCUUUAUUUCAACCUUUGUUUUUUAUUGUGUAAACUGUGUGGCUGAAAUAUCUGUUCCAUUUGUCUAAAUAUAUGGAGGGAGUGAAAGGAAAGUAUAGUCAGUGAAAAUUGAAGAUAUUGCUGGCAGUUCUGGCAGGUGCAAUUUGGAUUGUGUAAACUCCAAAUUAUUUUUGGAGAGCAGUGGUAAAAGAUGAUUUAUAUUGUUUUGUAAGGCAGGCUACCCUGUUGCCCAUAUAGUACAAUAAAACAUACAAUUUGUUUUUACUUGCUUUCCAUGCAUGGUGCAUGUAAUGUGUUAUCAAUCAAAUAUAUUAAGUAAUACUUUGUUUUAAAUUAGAAUUUGAAUAUUACCUAAAGCCUAAAAUAUGUAUGUUUUAAAACAACAUAAUAGCUUUUUCAAAAAGAGAAAAAGAAUGCAAGCCCAUUUUCCAAGUGUACAAAAUCAAACAACAUUAAAAGGACCAGUCUAAAAUGAGCUGGCUCUUCCCUAAGUGCCAUGGAGCAUAAAUUCCUUUAUCAUAUUGCACAAAGGAAUGUAUCCUGCACUACCUCCUAUAUUCUACCUUACAGAAUAGCUUAUGCUCAACUCUGCUUUUUUAAAGAAAGGGAUUCCAUAGCUGCUGGUUAUAACAGUUUAUUGUGCACUGAGAGAAAUGUUGGGAGUGGCUUGGCCAGUCCAUAAGCACUUUGUGGAAAGUUAGAGAACUGCCUCUGGGACAGUGGUUUACUACCCUAUGUGCAUAGGAUGAAUAAGUCAUUUCUCUCAACGCAAUCCUGUGGAGGGCUUCUCCUCAAAGACUCAUAAUCAUCGGUCCUCUGCGUGUUCUAUUGUACUGAUAGGGUAGAGCGCAUCACCAAAAUCAACAGGCAGCACUUGUGGAGGCAGCAGCAAGCCGCUGUAUAUUAGCUGAUAAACGCUUUUUUCUUUCUAGUUUUUUUAAAUAAGAUACAAUGUUUUCACUAAUGAUCUUUUUACCAUACAGAAUGCUAAAAGUAAGAGGACACCAGGCAAAAUCCCCUGAAAUCACUGCAGGGACACUGCCAGACCCCAGGUGGGGCACUGAACAGAAGAGGGCAGCGGGCCAUUUUGAAAGGAAGAAAAGGGCAACUGGGAGCGGAGGAUGAGGACAGAGUCUGCGGAGCAUAGGAGCAGAUGACGCAGAAGAUGCUACAGCUGCCUACCGCAGCUGCUCUCAUAGUCGCCUGUACUUCAGAGUAGGGGCAAAUGUGUUUAGAGAUGAAAGGCAAGAGGGGGUAAGAAAAAUGUACCUUCCAUUUCUAACCAACUGUGAUAUAAUCUUCACAAAGCUCAUUCUGUUCUUAUGAAGUGGUUAUUUUCAGGAUUCAAAUAUAGGCAAAAUACGAACCGGCAAACCCUAUGUGUUUCUUAGCUGCAAGCACAAUUGGAUACACCCAAAUUACUGACAGCACAUUGUAAUUUCUAAGGCAACUUCUAAGGACAAACUUGUAGUUGGAACCUUGAACAUUAGAAAUGGUAGCAAUUUAGUAAUGUGAUAGUUUAUGGCCUUGCCCAACUGUUUGUGAACUCAAAAAGUGCUUUGUCACGUGUAACCUUAAUGUUUACAUGCUUUAGGCCAUAUAAUGACUUUAAGUCAUUAUUUCUUGUUUUAGACUCAGUACACGUAAGGGUAGUUGAUCUACCCACUCUGAGAUCAUUUCCUGGAACUCUGAACCCUACUGAACUCUGUACUAUCCUAAGGAUUGGCUGAUUGACUUAAAAUCCUACCCUGAGGAAAUAAAUACAUGAGUGGGGAGGGAGAGAGGGAGGGUUGGGGCAGGCCAACUUUAUUGACAUCCCCAUGUUUUCUUGAGGAUCCACAGGGAUCCUAAAGAGUAGUUUUCAACUCCUUGGCAGUAGAGGGCAUUUAGAUUAGACAAAGAUGUUCUUCAAAAAUGUCAGGAACUGAGAGAAGUCACAAAAGGAAAAAAAGAAAGUUAACAAUAACUGCAUAGUUACGGGGCUGUUUUAUAGAUUAAAAAAUAAAACAGGCUCAUACACAUUUGGUAAUUUGCCCGAAGUCACACAGACUUCAGAUUAAGGUCUGUGAGACUCCAAAGCUGCUUUCUAUUAUCACAAAAUGGCAUGGGGAUCUGAGAAUUCUAUAGGGUUCCUCCCUUUUAAGAUUUAUAAAAUGCAGAGAUCGCACAUAUCACUGGUUCAAAAAAGUUUAAGCCAUUUCUUUCUUUUUUCUUUUUUUUUUUCUAAGACGGACUCUUGCUCUGUUGCCCAGGCUGGAGUGCAGUGCCAUGAUCUCAGCUCACUGCAAUCUCCAUCUCCUGAGUUCAAGCAAUUCUCAUGCCUCAGCCUCCCGAGUAGCUGGGGCUGCAGGUGUGCACCACCACACCCAGCUAAUUUUUGUAUUUUUUAGUAGAGAUGGGGUUUUACCACAUUGGUAAGGCUGGUCUCGAACUCUCAGCCUCAAGUGAUCUGUCCGCUUUGGCCUCCCAAAGUGCUGGGAUUACAGGCAUGAGCCACCGCACCCAGCCAAGUUUAAGUCAUUUCUUAGGCUAUAUGCCUUCACAGGGCAGUGGCACUCUCCUGGCAACUCUAGUCAGCCACUUAGAAUCACUUAAAGCUUCUUCCAAGGCCUCUGGCCAGGGGUGAGUGAAGGCACAGGACUGCUUGAUCUCCUAGCCUAAUUAGGCAUGACACAACUUUGAGUAGAGAAUCAGGAAGGGCCAGUGGUCCAUAGAGUAUGUUGUGAUCCGAGCAGACUUAACAAACACACUACUUAAUCCAAAAUGCUAAGUUUUGUUGAGAUGUAUUCUUACAAGCAUGUUUAGAGAAUUGAGAUAAUUUCACUGAGCAAUUCAACUAAUAGAAUAAUAAUGCCAGACUUCAGCAUGCAGCCAUAUUAAUAAUCUGACCCCACUCUAUCUACUUAUAAAGUAUAUCCCAUUACUCCCCCAAACCUAUCUUUUCCAGAGGUGAGGUCUCCUCAUCGCUUCCACAUACUUCCCUCGUUCCUGCCUUCAUGCCCAGCUGAUGUUGAAUCCUGUCUAAGAUGCCUCUUCUUUCCACCACAAACUAUCCCAUCUUUCAAGGUCCAUCUCAAAACCCACCUUUUCUACAUCAUUUGUCUUGAUAACUCCAGUCAUAGUGGCCUCCAAAAUCCUGACCAGCCAUAACAAUGUCUCCACUCAACAUUUUCAUAUUUGAUUAUUUUUAACUUAGAACUUGACUAUGAGCUCUGUUAAUUCUCAUUAUCUCAUCUUUGUAAAUCCCCCCCAGUCACCAGGUUUCACGCAUCUUGAAGGCAGAGGCUUUGUUGACACAAAGUGAUUGGCAAAAAGGGAGCACCAUAGCAGUGUUUCCUACCCCGAAAUCUGUUUCUUUACUUUGGUUUUAAACCAGAUAGAAGAUAAAGAAACUGAGGCCCAUAGAAACAAAGCAAUUUUGCUAAGGUUAUACAGAGAGUAUGGUGGAGCUGGAUUCACAGGUGGGUUUGCCUGACUCCAAGACGCAUUCUCUUUCCACUAUACCACAUUACCUUUCUCAUUAAUUUCCUAAAACCAAUGGGUUCUAGUAUGCUGUUCACAGUACACUCACGCAAUACCUGCUUCCUAGUACAUACAUCUAUUUUAUAGGCGAGGGAUGAUAGAAGCCAGGGCAUUAGAAAAUUAAAUAUCUUUUUUUAUUAUUAUUUUUUAAGACAGAGUCUCACUCUGUCGCC